rnacentral:rRNA from 1 species
CCUACGGGAGGCUGCAGUGAGGAAUAUUGGUCAAUGGACGAGAGUCUGAACCAGCCAAGUCGCGUGAAGGAUGACUGCCCUAUGGGUUGUAAACUUCUUUUAUAUGGGAAUAAAAUGUUCCACGUGUGGGAUUUUGUAUGUACCAUAUGAAUAAGGAUCGGCUAACUCCGUGCCAGCAGCCGCGGUAAUACGGAGGGUCCGAGCGUUAUCCGGAUUUAUUGGGUUUAAAGGGAGCGUAGGUGGUUUGUUAAGUCAGUUGUGAAAGUUUGCGGCUCAACCGUAAAAUUGCAGUUGAAACUGGCAGUCUUGAGUACAGUAGAGGUGGGCGGAAUUCGUGGUGUAGCGGUGAAAUGCUUAGAUAUCACGAAGAACUCCGAUUGCGAAGGCAGUUCACUGGACUGCAACUGACACUGAGGCUCGAAAGUGUGGGUAUCAAACAGGAUUAGAUACCCCUGUAGUC